AGGUUGAAGAGGAGGAAGAGGAACUGAUGAUGAUAACACUGGAGAAACGAAACAGUCCUGGUUGUGGAGGCUUCGACAGGCUCCUAAAGGUGGAAUGAAGGUCUGGGC